UACGUAGGGACCAAGCGUUGUUCGGAUUUACUGGGCGUAAAGGGCGCGUAGGCGGACCACCAAGUCCGGGGUGAAAUCCUUCGGCUUAACCGGAGAAUUGCCUGGGAUACUGGUGGUCUUGAGGGAGGUAGGGGCACGCGGAACUUCCGGUGGAGCGGUGAAAUGCGUUGAUAUCGGAAGGAACGCCGGUGGCGAAAGCGGCGUGCUGGCCCUCUUCUGACGCUGAGGCGCGAAAGCCAGGGGAGCGAACGGG
rnacentral:rRNA from 1 species